CUCCAGCAACGAGCUCGCACCUCAUCGUGGUGCUGGAGUCUAGUAGCCUGUCCCCUUUCUGGGGUGGGUGAAGCUAAGUCGAGCU
rnacentral:ribozyme from 1 species